UGAACGCUGGCGGCAGGCCUAACACAUGCAAGUCGAGCGGUAACAGGUCUAGCUUGCUAGAUGCUGACGAGCGGCGGACGGGUGAGUAACGCGUAGGAAUCUGCCCGGUAGCGGGGGAUAGCCCAGAGAAAUUUGGAUUAAUACCGCAUACGCCCUAAGGGGGAAAGGAGGGGACUCUUCGGAGCCUUCCACUAUCGGAUGAGCCUGCGUCGGAUUAGCUUGUUGGUGGGGUAAUGGCCUACCAAGGCGACGAUCCGUAGCUGGUCUGAGAGGAUGAUCAGCCACACCGGAACUGAGACACGGUCCGGACUCCUACGGGAGGCAGCAGUGGGGAAUAUUGCACAAUGGGCGCAAGCCUGAUGCAGCCAUGCCGCGUGUGUGAAGAAGGCCUUCGGGUUGUAAAGCACUUUCAGCGAGGAGGAAAGGUUGUUGAUUAAUACUCAACAGCUGUGACGUUACUCGCAGAAGAAGCACCGGCUAACUCC
rnacentral:rRNA from 1 species